rnacentral:lncRNA from 1 species
CUGUUUGGAACCUGGGAUUCAAAUGGCCUGGCAGGAAGUGCUCUAGCAGAGGGACUCUGGCCUUGCAAGAGUCCCUAUUUCCCCCUUUUUUUUUGCUUUUCACACAGUAAAACCCUGCUUUACUUCCCUUUGAGUCGUCUGUGAGCCUAAAUUUUUGUGGCUGUGGGAAGGACAAGAACCCCAUCUUUAGCUGAAAUAAGGAAAAGUUCCGCAACAUUUUUGGCACACACCCUGGGGGCUCCGGAAGUGGAUUAUGUUGGCUCGGAGAAUGAUACCUCAAAGGCUGGUGCUGAGAGUUCUUAGAAGCUGCUUCAGAAUCAAGAAAUGCUUGCUGUUUGGAAACUUGUGAAGACCUGCAUCCCUUUGUAUCUCAAAUAAAGACAGAGGAACAAGGCCUUGAAACCGCCACUCCGUCAGGUCCUUGUCUUUCCAGUUUUCCUUCUUUGUGCCAUUGGGAUUAUAGAGAAUCAGCUCAUAAAAGUCAAAGUCCCCAGAGGCUGGACUCCAGUUGAACCAAAGGCUGUCUGUCGUGUUCCGAUUGGACCCCCUGAGAUGACUCACAGAGGCUGGGACUUAAACAGAAGAAAAAUUGUUACUGAGAACAAAACAGAAACACAGGCAUUUUGGCCCACAGAUCUCUAUUAAGAGAAAAAUACAAAGAAUAAAUGAGUAAGGCUCUUGAAACCAUUGAAUUGUACAAACUUUGGUGGUUUUAAAUCUGGAUUUGUGAAUAGCUGAGCCCGUUCACUGUCCCAUUUUGGAGAACCAUGAGGCAUUCUACAAUCUAGCCCUUCUCCAGGUGGAUGCUUACCUGUCCGCCCAACCACAUUUAUCUGAUUCUUCAGGGACCCGCUGACUGAGGCAAUCAUGAUCUGGUACUGCUCCCCGGCCUCCAGUCUGUGGAACGUGUGCUCAAAGACGUGCUUGGGAAUAGUCUGAGAGUCAACCUUUUGACUGUGCCUGAAUGCCGACACCGUGUAGGAAUCAACGUCUCCCCCACCAGGAGUCCAGUUCACCGUCAGGCUAUCUGUUGCUCCAUUGGGAGAAAUGUGAAUAUUUUUGACAGCACUAGGAACUAAAACAGAAAAUAAAUUUAAAAGUCAUCACUUAGAGAAUGAACUGUUGAAAUUUUCAAACAAAGUUUUGAAUGCUUCUGAUGUUUUGGCACCCACUGAGAGAACUCACAUGAAAAAGAAAGUAACAAUUUGCCACUUUUCUCUGAUUUUUCUGUGUGAACUAAAGUUGAUGGGGGAAAGCUUAGGGGGAAGUCAAAGCCGGUUGGACAACAUCAUUGUCACUAUCAACAUGACUUUGUCCCUUCUUGCUGUCUCCCUUUUAUCCCUCCAAAUGCUCAAUCGAAAUACCUGAACUACCCGAAAGUUAAAUGCACCACUGCAUCUAUUCAGGUUCAAGAACAGUAUUUCACAUUACCUGUGAAGCCCUCAAUGAAGGCUGACUGCUGUACAUCCCCGCUAAUCGUCAAGACAAGAAUUUUGUAUUGGCGGCCUGGUGUUAGGGAAGUAAAUCGAUACUCGGUUGCGGUAUUUACAAGGUGAAAAGGAGGAAAUACUUUCAUGUCAUUGAAGAGCAGCUGGAUCUCAUAUUGGUCGACAUCCCCAUUAGCUCCUGACCAAGUCACAUGCAAGUCCUCAGUGCUCCUGUUGCGCAAUGUUAGAUCCUUAACAGGCUCUGGAACUAGGGAGAAAAAUGAGAAGACAUUUCAGGAAAGGAACUGAUCAGAGUUUACCUACAUAAUAAUUUAUGAAUCACAUUCAAGGAACUGGCAACAUCUCCCUUCCCCAAAUAAACCACUAGCACUACUUCAUGCAUAAUUAAACAAGAAAAAUUGGAAGCAACUAUUAACAUUGUGGUUUUUUCCUGACAUAAAUGUUACAUGAUCAGCAUUGGUAGAACAUAAUUAUAAAAUGAGUUAUGAUCUCAAUCAUAAGAUAAAACAAGAAGUCUAGAAUCUAAAUGCCAUGAUGCAGGAAGAUAGGGAAGAAAAAUGGGACAUUUAGCCUUCUUGCUCCCUCACUAUGUUUGCUUUUAUCUACCAAUAAAUAUUCUGUAAUUAUAGGCCAUGGCUUGGCUGAAUGAUGUUAGC